UACGUAGGGUGCGAGCGUUAAUCGGAAUUACUGGGCGUAAAGCGUGCGCAGGCGGUUUUGUAAGCCAGAUGUGAAAUCCCCGGGCUUAACCUGGGAAUGGCGAUGGAUACUGGCGAGCUAGAGUGAGGUAGAGGAGAGUGGAAUUCCCGGUGUAGCAGUGAAAUGCGUAGAGAUCGGGAGGAACAUCAGUUGCGAAGGCGGCUCUCUGGACCAUCACUGACACUGAGGCACGAAAGCGUGGGGAGCAAACAGG
rnacentral:rRNA from 1 species